rnacentral:rRNA from 1 species
AUGGAGCUUGCUCCGGAAGACUUAGUGGCGAACGGGUGCGUAACACGUGAGAAAUCUGCCCCGAACUUCGGAAUAACAGUUGGAAACGGCUGCUAAUACCGGAUGCCUUCAUUUGACCGCAUGGUUGUUUGAAGAAAGCUUUAUCGGUUUGGGAGGGUCUCGCGGCCUAUCAGCUUGUUGGAGAGGUAACGGCUCACCAAGGCUUCGACGGGUAGCUGGUCUGAGAGGAUGAUCAGCCACACUGGAACUGAGACACGGUCCAGACUCC